UAGGGAAUCUUCCACAAUGGGCGCAAGCCUGAUGGAGCAACACCGCGUGAGUGAAGAAGGGUUUCGGCUCGUAAAGCUCUGUUGUUAAAGAAGAACACGUAUGAGAGUAACUGUUCACCCCUUGACGGUAUCUAACCAGAAAGCCACGGCUAACUACGUGCAG
rnacentral:rRNA from 1 species